CGCAGAACAAACAGAAACCACAAGUGGUAAAGACAGAACCACCAAAUUCCAAUGGAGAUGAACCCAUGCAUUCCAAUCGCUGGGAAGAGGAAACAGGAGUAGAGAUACCUGCCAGCAAAUCUACUGUACUUCGUGGCCAUGAAUCUGAAGUUUUCAUCUGUCUGCGCCUGAACCCAACAACAUUCAGAAGGGUGGAACUGAAGUUCCGAGCAACAAAGAUGUCACCUCACUUGACUGGUAUUUGCUGGGAUAACUGAACAGAAGUUUUAAAGAAAGACAGAAACAAUUGACAAGACCCAUCUCUUCUAGAUAUCACCGUCCAACUGGCUUCUGUAAAAGAAGCGAGCAGGCUGAGUCUUGAGACACUGGCAACAGAAGUUCGAGAAUGGAAAUCACAGAUUGAUGACCUUCAGAAGGAAUUGUUAGUUGCAGAUCCCGAUCUUAUCGAUUUUAUGAAAGGAUUUCUAGUUGAAGCAAAGGAGAAAGUGUUUGCAAUGCAGAAUGCAUUCAUGGAACAAUUUAUCAUUGAAUUCAACAAUUCCAACGUAAUACGAAGGAAACCUGAUUUAUGACUUAUUUAAUAGCUUAGCUUAUCGUCGUUAGUAACUUGCAUCGUAACGAAUUAAUUUUUUGGUAGCUUCUUGAUUGUUUAAACGAAGUAUAAGGUUACAAUCAAUGCA